UACGAAGGGGGCUAGCGUUGCUCGGAAUUACUGGGCGUAAAGGGCGCGUAGGCGGAUAUUUAAGUCGGGGGGUGAAAGCCCAGGGCUCAACCCUGGAACAGCCUUCGAUACUGGAUAUCUUGAGUACGGGAGAGGUGUGUGGAACUCCGAGUGUAGAGGUGAAAUUCGUAGAUAUUCGGAAGAACACCAGUGGCGAAGGCGACACACUGGCCCGUUACUGACGCCUGAGGCGCGAAAGCGUGGGGAGCAAACAGG
rnacentral:rRNA from 1 species